rnacentral:antisense_RNA from 1 species
AGAACUGCUUCUUGCUGCCGCCAUAUGAAGAAGGACGUGUUUGCUUCCCCUUCCUCCAUGAUUGUAAGUUUCCUGAGACCUCGCCAGCCAUGCUGAACUGUUAUAAACAUCUUGAGAGCAAGGACUAAAUCUUACUUAUCUUUAUUAAGAACUAACAGUGGAACACACAGAAAAUCCAUGGAUAUACUGUCAGACUGUCACCAAAUAUACAUUCAACAUUUUUCUUACUUGUGAGACUGAUUUUGAGAAAAUUUGCUAUCACAGAAUCACUAAACUUUAGAGCAGGUAGACUCCUGCAAUGAUUUUAUUUACUUGCUAUAUUUUACCAAUAAGAAAACCGAGGCAUAGAGAAGUUGAGACUUUCUACACACCAGUGCCUAGUCUUCAUGAUGCUUAUGCCCAACCCUGAGUCCUUUCCUCUAUAUAAUCCUGCCUCAUUACAUUUCUGAAAGACGGAGAAGUUUUAUAACAACAAGAUGAAAGACUUUGGAAGUUUACAGAGGCUAUCAGGCUAUCUUCUCAUAGACCCAUCAUUUGUCCAGCAGAAAGAGACUAAAAAGGCUUAUAAGAAUAUCAAGACCCCAAUGUUGUACUUAUGGUUUGACUUUAUAUCUCUGACUAAUUACAGAAUUUGAUUAUUUAAAAAGUUUUUUUAUAUCAAA